GACGAACGCUGGCGGCGUGCCUAAUACAUGCAAGUAGGACGCAGUUGCGAACGGGUGAGUAACGCGUAGGUAACUGACUAUUAGAGGGGGAUAACUAUUGGAAACGAUAGCUAAUACCGCAUACUAGUAGAUGGACCUGCGUUGUAUUAGAUAGUAGGUAGGGUAAUGGCCUAACUAGGCGACGAUACAGAACCGACCUGAGAGGGUGAGCGGCCACACUGGGACUGAGACACGGCCCAGACUCCUACGGGAGGCAGCAGUAGGGAAUCUUCGGCAAUGGGGGGAACCCUGACCGCGCAACGCCGCGUUAGUGAAGAAGGUUUUCGGAUCUUAAAGCUCUGUUGCUAAGGAAGCGGUACUUAACCAGAAAGGGACGGCUAACUACGUGCCAGCCGCCGCGGUAAUUC
rnacentral:rRNA from 1 species